CAGUCGCCGCGGGAAUACGGAGGGUGCGAGCGUUAAUCGGAAUAACUGGGCGUAAAGGGCACGCAGGCGGUUAUUUAAGUGAGGUGUGAAAGCCCCGGGCUUAACCUGGGAAUUGCAUUUCAGACUGGGUAACUAGAGUACUUUAGGGAGGGGUAGAAUUCCACGUGUAGCGGUGAAAUGCGUAGAGAUGUGGAGGAAUACCGAAGGCGAAGGCAGCCCCUUGGGAAUGUACUGACGCUCAUGUGCGAAAGCGUGGGGAGCAAACAGGAUUAGAUACCCCGGUAGUCCCUGUCUCUUAUAC
rnacentral:rRNA from 1 species